rnacentral:rRNA from 1 species
GUCCGCACGGUAAACGAUGGAUGCCCGUUAUUGGCGAUAUACAGUCAGUGACCAAGCGAAAGCGUUAAGCAUCCCACCUGGGGAGUACGCCGGCAACGGUGAAACUCAAAGGAAUUGACGGGGGCCCGCACAAGCGGAGGAACAUGUGGUUUAAUUCGAUGAUACGCGAGGAACCUUACCCGGGCUUGAAUUGCAGACGACGGGCAUAGAGAUAUGCCUUCCCUUCGGGGCGUCUGUGAAGGUGCUGCAUGGUUGUCGU